rnacentral:rRNA from 1 species
AAGAUUUCACAAUGGGCGCAAGCCUGAUGCAGCCACGCCGCGCGGGGGAUGACGGCCUUCGGGUUGUAAACCUCUUUCAGUAUGUGCGAAGCUUGCGGGUUUUCUCGCAGGCGACGGUAGGUACCGGAGAAGCACCGGCCAACCACGUGCCGGCACCCGCGGUAAUACGAAGGGUGCGAGCGUUGUCCGGAAUUACUGGGCGUAAAGUGCUAGUAGGUGGUUUGUCGCGUUGUCCGUGAAAACUCACAGCUCAACUGUGGGCGUGCGGGCGAUACGGGCAGACUGGAGUACUGUAGGGGAGACUGGAAUUCCUGGUGUAGCGGUGGAAUGCGCAGAUAUCAGGAGGAACACCGGUGGCGAAGGCGGGUCUCUGGGCAGUAACUGACGCUGAGGAGCGAAAGCGUGGGGAGCGAACAGG